UACGGAGGGAGCUAGCGUUGUUCGGAAUUACUGGGCGUAAAGCGCACGUAGGCGGCUUUGUAAGUUAGAGGUGAAAGCCCGGGGCUCAACCCCGGAAUUGCCUCUAAGACUGCAUCGCUUGAAUCCAGGAGAGGUGAGUGGAAUUCCGAGUGUAGAGGUGAAAUUCGUAGAUAUUCGGAAGAACACCAGUGGCGAAGGCGGCUCACUGGACUGGUAUUGACGCUGAGGUGCGAAAGCGUGGGGAGCAAACAGG
rnacentral:rRNA from 1 species